CGUAGGGGGCAAGCGUUGUCCGGAUUUAUUGGGCGUAAAGCGCUCGCAGGUGGUCCGUUGCGUCGUGCGUGAAAGACCCCGGCUCAACUGGGGGGUGUCGUGCGAUACGGGCGGACUGGAGGCCAGUAGGGGGAUGCGGAAUUCCGGGUGUAGUGGUGGAAUGCGUAGAGAUCCGGAGGAACACCAGCGGCGAAGGCGGCAUCCUGGACUGGUCCUGACACUCAGGAGCGAAAGCGUGGGGAGCGAUCCGGAUUAGAUACCCGGGUAGUCCACGCUGUAAACGAUGCGCACUAGGUGUCGGGGGUAUCGACCCCCUCGGUGCCGCAGCUAACGCGAUAAGUGCGCCGCCUGGGGACUACGGCCGCAAGGCUA
rnacentral:rRNA from 1 species